rnacentral:sRNA from 1 species
GGAGGCGGCGACGCCCCCCCCGACUUGAGGCCGGCGACAUGCCGGUCUGCCGUCUCCGCACCCCUUUUCUCGAUGAUGCAACAAACUCGGCGGGCCAUCGGCC